rnacentral:rRNA from 1 species
AAUAGAUACCCGGGUAGUCCACGCCGUAAACGAUGUCGACUUGGAGGUUGUUCCCUUGAGGAGUGGCUUCCGGAGCUAACGCGUUAAGUCGACCGCCUGGGGAGUACGGCUGCAAGGUUAAAACUCAAAUGAAUUGACGGGGGCCCGCACAAGCGGUGGAGCAUGUGGUUUAAUUCGAUGCAACGCGAAGAACCUUACCUACUCUUGACAUCCAGAGAACUUAGCAGAGAUGCUUUGGUGCCUUCGGGAACUCUGAGACAGGUGCUGCAUGGCUGUCGUCAGCUCGUGUUGUGAAAUGUUGGGUUAAGUCCCGCAACGAGCGCAACCCUUAUCCUUUGUUGCCAGCGGUUCGGCCGGGAACUCAAAGGAGACUGCCAGUGAUAAACUGGAGGAAGGUGGGGAUGACGUCAAGUCAUCAUGGCCCUUACGAGUAGGGCUACACACGUGCUACAAUGGCGUAUACAAAGAGAAGCGACCUCGCGAAAGCAAGCGGACCUCAUAAAGUACGUCGUAGUCCGGAUUGGAGU